rnacentral:rRNA from 1 species
GACGUAGGGGGCAAGCGUUGUCCGGAUUUAUUGGGCGUAAAGAGCUCGUAGGCGGCUUUGUCAGUCGGGUGUGAAACCUCCAGGCUCAACCUGGAGCCGCCACCCGAUACUGCAAUAGCUAGAGUCCGGUAGGGGAGCAUGGAACUCCUGGUGUAGCGGUGAAAUGCGCAGAUAUCAGGAAGAACACCAGUGGCGAAGGCGGUGCUCUGGGCCGGAACUGACGCUGAGGAGCGAAAGCGUGGGGAGCAAACAGG